rnacentral:tRNA from 1 species
GUCUGACUGGCUCAGUUGGUAGAGUGUGGGACUCUUGAUCUCAGGGUAGUGAGUUCGAGCUCAUGUUGGGUG